rnacentral:rRNA from 1 species
UACAGGGGGUGCAAACGUUGCUCGGAAUCAUUGGGCGUAAAGCGCACGUAGGCGGUUCGUUAUGUCGGAUGUGAAAGCCCUUGGCUUAACCGAGGAAGUGCAUCCGAAACUGGCGAGCUAGAGUACGAAAGAGGAUCGCGGAAUUCCCGGUGUAGAGGUGAAAUUCGUAGAUAUCGGGAGGAACACCGGUGGCGAAGGCGGGACUCUGGGCCGAUACUGACGCUGAGGAGCGAAAGCGUGGGGAGCAAACAGGG